AUACGUAGGUGGCGAGCGUUGUCCGGAAUUACUGGGCGUAAAGGGCGCGUAGGCGGCCUGUCAAGUCAGAUGUGAAAUCCCCGGGCUUAACCCGGGAACUGCAUUUGAAACUGGCGGGCUUGAGGGCAGGAGAGGAAAGCGGAACUCCCAGUGUAGCGGUGAAAUGCGUAGAUAUUGGGAGGAACACCAGUGGCGAAGGCGGCUUUCUGGACUGUCACUGACGCUGAGGCGCGAAAGCCAGGGGAGCGAACGGGAUUAGAUACCCGGGUAGUCCUGGCCGUAAACGAUGGAUACUAGGUGUGGGAGGUAUCGACCCCUUCCGUGCCGCAGCUAACGCAAUAAGUAUCCCGCCUGGGGAGUACGGUCGCAAGGCUGAA
rnacentral:rRNA from 1 species